rnacentral:lncRNA from 1 species
AGGGGCCUUUAUAUAGCCAUUGUACAACAGAAUUCAGCAUGAAAUCUGGAGAAAAUAUCUUAUCCCUACUGGCUAUAUCAUCCACAAUGAUUUAUUCAACUACAGUUAAGUAAAACUAUUCGUAGAGACUAGGUCAAUACUAAAAAAAAGUGCAUCUAAAUAGCAAAAAAAAUUGAUAAUUAAUUUCUAACAAUCCCUCCCAUAAAUUGUAGACUUUUAAGUUCCAGAUUGUUUGUAUAGCUCCUUCUUCAAGCUGGACUCUCCAAGGUGCAAAUGCCCAGUAACCUUCUCAGAUUUUGGAAGGGAAGAAAUUUGAGAGGUUUAGUAAAUAUGUCAGCCACAUGAUCUUCACUUAUGCAGUACUUCGGAUCAAUUGUUCCAUCAUUGCUGAGAUCUCUUAAAAAAUAAUACUUCACAUCAACAUGCUUGCUUCUUCCAUGUAGCACAAGAAUUUUUCGAAAGUUUGAUAGUUGAGUUGUUGUCACAAAAAAAUUGUAGUAGAUCCUUCUUGCUAAAAAUGCAACUCUUCAAGAAUUUUCCUAAGCCAGAUAGCUUGACAAACACAAGCUGUUGCAGCAACAAAUUCAGCUUCAAUGGUUGACAGAGUAACUAUUGGUCGCUUCUUGGAUGAACAUGAAACAGCCCCUGUUCCCCGUAUAAAAACAUAACCUGAGGUGUUUUUUCUGUCACCUUGAUCUCUUGCAUAUUCACUGUCAGUAAAUCCGAAAAGGUUUGAUCUUUUUCCCUUCUUAUAGAACAAUCCAAAAUCUUUAGUUCCCUGCAAGUAACGAAAGAUGCUCUUGGCAGCUAAGAAAUGCAUUGUUGUUGGAUUCUCCAUAUAUCUGCUUAUUAGACUUACAGAAUGCACUGUGUCUAGUCUUGUUGCAGUUAAAUACAUCAAACUCCCUACAAUUUGCUUGUAGUGUGUUGUCUACAGUUUUUCCUCCAUGAUCCUUGGUUAGCUUCAAGCCAAACUCGGAGUGUUUACAGGGUUGCAAUCCUUCAUGUAAAACCUGUCCAAAAUUUCUCGCACAUAUUUCUUUUGACAAAUAAAGAUUCCACUAGCAGUUUGCACUACUUCUAUGCCCAGGAAAUAAUGCAUCAUACCAAGAUCAGACAUUUCAAAUUCAACCAUCAUAGAUUUCUUGAAUUUUUCAAACAUGAUACUGUCAUUUCCAGUAAAUAUAAGAUCAUCUACAUAUAAGCAGACAAUGAGCAUUUUUCCUCCAUCUCCAACUUUAACAAAAAGUGCGUGUUCAUAUGGGCAUUUUUGAAAACCUUCCUUUAAAAAAUAAGUCUCAAUGCGACUAUACCAAGCCCAUGGAGCUUGUUUUAACCCAUAAAGAGCUUUCUUUAAUCUAUACACCUUAUGCUCAUUACCAAUUUAAACAUGACCAGGAGGUUGAUCGACAAAUACCUGUUCCUCCAAGUUUCCAUGCAAGAAUGCCGAUUUGACAUCCAACUAGAAGAUAGGCUAUGAAUGUUGUACUACCAAUGUGAUCACCAAUUUGAUUGUAUCAUGUCUUGCUACUGGAGCAAAAACUUCAUUAUAGUCAACUCCAGACUCCUGUUUGUAUCCCUUAGCCACCAGUCGCGCCUUAUACUUGUCAACUUUACCGUUCUCCUUUAGUUUUGUUUUGAAGAUCCACUUCAAACCAAUAGUUUUAUGCCCUUUUGGAAGAUUCGAUACCUCCCAAGUAUCAUUUCUUUCAAUGACUGCAAUUUCAUCAUCCAUAGCUUUUUGCCAUUUUGAUUCUUUGACAGCACUUUCAAAAGUUGUAGUGAAAAUAAAGCAAAGUAGGUGAGUGGAUCUUCAAUUUGGUCAAUUCCAGUUACCUCAUUGUCUAUCGUCCACGCGGGCCUUUUUCGAAUACGAUGAGAACGGGAUUCAACUGCUGCAUCAGUAGCUUCUGCUAUAGUUGGUAAAGUUUCAGUACUUACUGGAGCUACGUUUCGUGGAUUUUCGGGUAUAGGAGCCACUGGAAUUUGUUGUUGCAGGGAUUGCUGCAUUUCUUCUUGAGUUUCACUAUCCAAAAUGACUUGAAUAGUUGCUGUCCAUUCCAAUUACAAGUGCUUUCCUCAUCAAAAAUCACAUCUCUACUGUUCACAAACUUUUUCGUCAUUCAAUUGAACAAUUUAUAUGCUCCGGAUGUUUCACUUACGCUGAGAAAGACACACUUUUCACCCUUAUCAUCAAGCUUCUUCCAUUUCUCAUCACAUCUCUACUGUUCACAAACUUUUUCAUCAUUGGAUUGAACAAUUUAUAUGCUCCGGAUGUUUCACUUACGCCGAGAAAGACACACGUUUCAUCCUUAUCAUCAAGCUUCUUCCAUUUCUCAUCUGGGAUGUGUACAUAUGCGAUACAACCAAAACUUCUGAAGUGAUCUACAGCUGGUUUCCGCCCACUCCAACCCUCUUUUGGUGUCAUGUUUUGAACUGCAAAAGUAGGACUCCUAUUCAAGAUAUGAAUGCUCCAAUUCACUGCUUCCAGCCAAAAGUUCUUUGGAACUCUUCCUUUUGCUAGCAAGCUUCUCACCAUGUUGAGAAUGGUUCUAUAUUUCCUUUCUGAUACACCAUUUUGUUGCGAUGUAUAAGCGGUUGUGAGUUCUCUUCAAAUGCCAUGAGCAUCACAAAAACUUUCAAACUCCUUUGAGCAAUAUUCUCCACCACGAUCAGUACGCAGAGUUUUAAUCAUUUUUCCUGUUUCAUUUUCAACACGCACCUUGAAGCUUUUAAAUACACUAAAAGCUUCUGAUUUUUCCAGCAAAAAUUGAACCCAACUAUGAUCAUCAAUGAAGGUAAUCAUGUG